UCGGAUUGCAGGCUGCAACCCGCCUGCAUGAAGUUGGAAUCGCUAGUAAUCGCGGAUCAGCAUGCCGCGGUGAAUACGUUCCCGGGCCUUGUACACACCGCCCGUCACACCAUGAGAGUCGGGAACACCCGAAGUCCGUAGCCUAACCGCAAGGGGGGCGCGGCCGAAGGUGGGUUCGAUAAUUGGGGUGAAGUCGUAACAAGGUAUC
rnacentral:rRNA from 1 species